AGAGUUUGAUCCUGGCUCAGGACGAACGCUGGCGGCGUGCUUAACACAUGCAAGUCGAGGGCGGGCAGCAAUGCCUGACCGGCGAACGGGUGCGUAACACGUGAGCGACCUUCCGUCUUCUGGGGGAUAGCCGGCCCAACGGCCGGGUAAUACCGCAUACGCUCUUUUGCUCGCAUGGGCGAGAGAGGAAACUUCCGGGGGAGGACGAGGGGCUCGCGGCCUAUCAGCUAGUUGGUGCGGUAACGGCGCACCAAGGCGACGACGGGUAGCUGGUCUGAGAGGAUGGCCAGCCACAUUGGGACUGAGAGACGGCCCAGACUCCUACGGGAGGCAGCAGUGGGGAAUCUUGCGCAAUGGCCGAAAGGCUGACGCAGCGACGCCGCGUGUGGGAGGAAGCUCUUCGGGGUGUAAACCACUGUUGCCCGGGACGAACAGCCUCUUUCGAGGGGCCUGACGGUACCGGGUGAGGAAGCACCGGCUAACUCUGUGCCAGCAGCCGCGGUAAUACAGAGGGUGCGAGCGUUGUCCGGAAUCACUGGGCGUAAAGGGCGCGUAGGUGGUGGCUUAAGCGUGCGGUGAAAGCUCGGAGCUCAACUCCGAGUCGGCCGUGCGAACUGGGCUCACUGGAGCAUAGUAGAGGCAGGUGGAAUUCCGGGUGUAGCGGUGGAAUGCGUAGAGAUCCGGAAGAACACCGGUGGCGAAGGCGGCCUGCUGGGCUAUGGCUGACACUGAGGCGCGACAGCGUGGGGAGCAAACAGGAUUAGAUACCCUGGUAGUCCACGCCGUAAACGAUGGGCACUAGGUGCUUGGGGGAGCGACCCCCUGGGUGCCGGCGCUAACGCAUGAAGUGCCCCGCCUGGGGAGUACGGCCGCAAGGCUGAAACUCAAAGGAAUUGACGG
rnacentral:rRNA from 1 species